GAAAAUGGUUUGUCUGUUUUUGAGGCCCCUCCUUGUGGGGGGCAGUUGUGUCCCUUUACGGAAAACUAGCAUCUUCUGGAUCUGCAAAACAAGAUUUCUUUCUUUCUCGUCUGUUUGGAGCUUGAGUGCCGCGGCGUCUUGAGGGAGCAGCUGCAUCGCAAGAUGGACUGAACGAAUUCUGGAAGUCACCGAUUCUUCGGGAGUUCAGUAUAUUUCGUAUGAAGAGGAUGGAAAAAGAUUGACGAUUCCAGCAAGAAUUGGGCGAAAACAAUUUCCCUCCACUUUGAAAAUAGAUGUUUUAAUAGGCAGGGAAAACCAUUCUUCCUUGCUAACCAUGCCAAAGAAAUCACGAUGAGGAAGCAGAAGAAUUGGCAACGAUGUAUUGGAAUAACGGGGACUCCUCUAGGAAUGAGUAAACGGCGCCUCACCUUCGUUUAUCAAAUUGGGCUUCGUGUAAGACUCCCCGUUAAAUGCAUGAGUGGCCCCCAAAAAAACAAACACUCUGGUCAGUUAUGGACAGCCAUGGUUGUUAAGUGGAUCACUGCCGUGACUCGUUGUGUCGCAACGAAGAAUGGAUGUGCAGGUUAGAAGUCUCCUAUACUGAACGGUGGCUCAAUGACUAAGACGCUGAGCUUGUCGAUUGAAAGGUCGGUAGUUUAGCGGUUAGUGUAAUCCGCAUAAUGGGGUAAGCUCCCGUGACUUGUCCCAGCUUCUGCCAACCUAGCAGUUUGAAAGCACGUAAAAAAAUGCAAGAAGGAAAAUAGGGACCCCCUUUGGUGGGAAGGUAACAGCGUUCCGUGUGUCUUUGGCGUUGAGUCAUGCCGGCCACAUGACCACGGAAACGUCUUCGGACAGCGCUGGCUCUUCGGCUUUGAAACGGAGAUGAGCACCGCCCUCUAGAGUCAGGAACGACUAGCACAGAUGUGCGAGGGGAACCUUUACCUUUUACUCCCAGAGAAAGAGGGUCUCCAUUAUUUUUUGGCCCCCCAGGAUGUCUUCACAUGGUGCUACCCACCUGCAAACUCCGGCUGCUGCAAGAGCCACAUUGGCACAACAGGGUGUGGAAAAGGGUGAGAGGUACAGAUAGUUCUUGACUUACAACCACAAUUGAGCUCGAAAGUUUGUUGCUGAGUGAACGUUGCCCCAUUUUUACGACUUUUCUUGCCACAGUCGUUAAAUGACUCACUGCAGUGGUUAAAUUAUUCACAUGGCUGUUAAGUGAAUGGGGUUUUCCCACUGACCUUGCUUGUAAGAAGGUCACAAAAGAGGUGCUUGCAAAAACCCCAGGACACUGCAACUAUAAUAAACGCAACCAAUAAAUGUGAGUCAGUUUUCAAAGGUCUGAAUUUUGCUCACACGACCAAGGGGGACUGCUACAACGGUCGUUAAGUGUGAAAAACCAUCAUGUCACUUUUAUCAAAGUGCCAAUGCAACUUUGAAUGGUCACUAAGCAAAGUGUCGUCAUCCUUGAUCCAUAACCGCAAUUGAGCUCAAAAGUUUUGUCGUUAAACAAGAUGGCCGCUAAGUGCGUUCUGCCUCAUUUUAUGACCUUUUGCCGCAGCUGGUAAAGUCGAUCGUGCAGUUGUUCAUAGCAACUCGUUAAGUGCACCUGGCUUCUCAGAAGAUUGCAAAAGGGGAUCAUGUGACCUUGGGAUGCCGCUAAGCACCUGGAUUUUGAUCACAUGACCUUGGGGAAUCUGCAACCAUCUUAAGCAGAGGUCUUCAAACUUGGCAGCUUUUAAGACUUGUGGACUUCAACUAAAACCUUGUAAAAAAUAUUUAAACUGUAUUGCGGUAUUGCCUCUUACUGUGUCCUGAUUGGUUAGCUCUGUAGCCAAUGUCCUUAAGAGGGAGCUUGAAACAUGGUUUGUUUCUCUUUGCUGAUCGUUACUGCUAUUUGCUGUUUUUGCUACUGUUUGCAACGGUUUAUUGUGUAUGACUUCGACAACUGGUAAGAAGACUUUGUUGUUGGAAUAUCCCUGGACUAUUGUUUUACUACCUACUGAGUUAAACAACGGAUUAAAGAUAUACACGGGCAAAUGGACAUGGCAACCCUUUCAACUAAUCACUCCCUUAAACUGCUGACAGCAGUUAAAACAACUUUCACCUUGGAAAAGUAUUUACAUCUAGAAAUGCCAUCAGUGGAGAGACAGUUAUUUGUUAAGUUUAGGUUCGAACUUUUAGAUACCAACGUUAAAUUUGGCCGUUACCGGAAAAUCCCGUAUGACAAAAGAACAUGCAUAUGUGGGGCAAACGUCGUGGAGGACACGGCACAUAUAAUAUUUGAAUGUAGGCUAUAUGAGGAAGCAAGAAAACAAUAUCUGUCCCCAAUUAUAAAUAAAUUUCCGCACUGGAAUAUAAGGCAUAAAUUAGCAUUUCUGUUGAGGGCUGACUCUCCUCCCCUGGUAAGGGCUAUCACUCGCUAUCUUAAAAGGAUGACAGCAAUACGAGCCAGUUAUAUCGAAAAGAAUGUCAUUGAUUGUAAGAAAGAUGAGCUGAGUUAGAGAGGAGCUAUCUUAUUUGGGUUAUCUAGUCUUGGCAACUUAGCUAUUGAAAUCUGAUAUUGUAGAAUUUUAAUGUCAUAUAUCAUAUAUUUUUAGAUUGUUAUUUCUGUAACUGUUUUGUCUUUUUCCCUUUUUCUUUUCUGUUUUGUUUGAAAAGGCCUUCGGGCUAUUCAAUAAACAAAUACAAUACUAUCUACUGCUUUAUCUGUGUAUGCACAGCAUAGCUGGCUGGAGAAUUCUGGGAGUUGAAGUCCACAUGUCUUAAAGCUGCCAGGUUUGAAGACUUCUGCCCUUAAGCGUGAAAAAUGGUUGUAGGUCACUUUUUUCCAGUGCCGUUGUAACUUUGAACGGUCACUAAAUGAACUGUUGUUAAAUCGAGGACUUGUAGAUAGCAAACAUGAGACUGAGCAGAAAGGGCCAGAAAUGUCUCUGGAGAUUCUCAAUCAUCCAGGUCCUGGUUGUUCCCAAAGAUGCUUUUUUCAAGAGGCAACUGGACUUUCUGGUUUUUCUUUAUGAAGACAUUUCGCUUCUCAUCCAAGAAGCUUCUUCAGCUCAGAUUGGAUGGUGAGGAAUGGAAGGAUUGAUACUCCUUGCAGACAGCUGGUCAUUUGCAUCCUUUUUAGAGAGUCGUUGAGACCACUUGGAAGUCUGUGUUUCCACAAAUGGGUGUCGAACUGCUGAAAGGACUGUGUUGUAGGCUGGAGAUAGGUGAUGUUGUAUCCCCCCAUCUCAGUUGAGGGAGGGCUGUUCAAUUUGGACACAGAUGGCCUCUUGGACCCCUCUUUCAACCAGAGGUCCUCUCUGUCCAAAAUGUGGACUUUGCUGUCUCCAAAAGAGCGGCCUUUGUCCUUUAAAUGCAGAUGGAUUGCUGGAUUUUGUCCUGAUGGGUUUGUUCUCCUAUGUUGUUUGUGAAGUGGUUGUUUUGUUUCCCCAAUGUACACCAUCUAUCUCCGGCCUAUAACAAAGUCCUUUCAGCAGAUCCAAAAAGGCUCCACACCCCAUUUGCGCUACUCAGGUGACCCUGAGGACGCAGAUAAACCUCCAAGCGGCCUCAACGACUCUCUAAAAGAACCCACUGCAGAUGCUGCAAUGGUGGGGCAAGUUUGAAAAGCAGUUGCUAAGCAAACGGACUCUUGUAAGUUGAGGACUACCUGUAAUUGAUCUUGCGCAGUUCACUGAGGCCUGCCUCCAAAUAACUGAUUUUGCUAAGAGCCCGUUGCAAUGGGUUAGUGCGGGUGAGGAUACCUUGUAAAAAAUCAGAGGGAGGGACAAGGAUUGUAUUUACCGUACUUUUUGGAGUAUAAAACACACUUUUUAUGCCCCCUAAAAGAGGGUGGAAUUAUAUACUGAAUACAGCCAUUUUUGGCCUCCUAAAACCCUGCCCCACACGUCCCAUUUUUGCCCAAAAUAGGCUUGUUUUUCACAAAAACGGGAUGUGCAGAGGGUUUGGGAGGCCUGCAGAGUGCUCCUGGAGGCUGGGGAGGGCAAAAACGCAACAUGUGGGGGAUUUGGGGAGGCCAAAACCCCCCAGGAGCACUCUGCAGGCCUCCCAAACCCUCUGCGCGCCCUGUUUUUUUUGUGAAAAAUGGCCCAUUUUUGCAAACUUUCACCUCCUAAACCACCACCCCCAUUGUGUUUUUACCCUCCCCAGCCCCAGGAGCACUCUGCGGGCCUCUCAAACCUUCUGCACACCCCAUUUUUCACCUCUCAAACUCCACAUG